UGGGUAACCUGCCCUAUACACAUGGAUAACAUACUGAAAAGUUUACUAAUACAUGAUAAUAUAUAUUUGUGGCAUCGCAGAUAUAUCAAAGUGUUAGCGGUAUAGGAUGGACCCGCGUCUGAUUAGCUAGUUGGUGAGAUAACUGCCCACCAAGGCGACGAUCAGUAGCCGACCUGAGAGGGUGAUCGGCCACAUUGGAACUGAGACACGGUCCAAACUCCUACGGGAGGCAGCAGCA
rnacentral:rRNA from 1 species